rnacentral:rRNA from 1 species
UACGAAGGGGGCUAGCGUUGCUCGGAAUUACUGGGCGUAAAGCGCACGUAGGCGGAUCUUUAAGUCAGGGGUGAAAUCCUGGAGCUCAACUCCAGAACUGCCUUUUAUACUGAGGGUCUUGAGUUCGGGAGAGGUGAGUGGAACUGCGAGUGUAGAGGUGAAAUUCGUAGAUAUUCGCAAGAACACCAGUGGCGAAGGCGGCUCACUGGCCCGAUACUGACGCUGAGGUGCGAAAGCGUGGGGAGCAAACAGG